UACAUAUCAGUAUACAUGUAAAAUAUGCGUUUAUACACACAGAGGGAAUCUGCAUUCUGCGGUCACAUAGAAAUGAGAGAAAAAGGAACAGAAUAGAAAGAACAAUUACCUCAAACGAUUGCACAGGAAUUUCGAAUCGUAGUCAGGAUAAUCCACAUCGAAUCAUAAACUUCCGUAAAAACUUAUCCCUUGCAAACUAUGAAUUGAAAAAAAAACCAAAUGAUACACGUGGUCCGGUCUGCGUAUUUUCACGCAUGGGCAACGUAGAUCUACACCCACCCCCUUCUCUCGCCCUUAUGACCCUUGUUUCUUCAUUUUCAUCAGACGGAAAGACGACUUGUGCUGACCUCUCUGUCCCACCCUCUGCGUUCGCUAGGCUUCAUUUGUUUAUUUAUUUAUUUACAUUUUUUAAAUCCCAUCGGAACUGUCACAUUCUCUCUUCUUUCCCUAAUUUCCCUAGAAGGAAAAACAAUUAACUAAUUGCCGGAUUAUCGUUCGUAUCAAUUUGAUAUCUGUUGCGAAUAAUCAUAUUGUUGUAUAUUUAGUCUGUAACACGUUGGGAUUUUACUGAUACUCCCAAAGUCUGACGAUGUAAAUAGCUCUAGAAUUGAACGUGCUAAUUAUAGCGUGUGCUUAGGUAUGUAUCUUGGAAUGAUUUGAAUUCUACUUCGUUUUUUUUAUCCACAUUAUAUCUUAUCUCUUGAUUACUCUUGAUUUUUUGCAAUCCACCCUUAACCCAUUUCUGAUUUUCAAAGUCUUCGUUCUACGCUUACAUCGAUAGUAUGUACGUAUAGUACAUAUAAUACGAUAUGUUUAACGAUGUUAGACUUUGCUAUACAUUAAUGUAUUAUAAUUAUUUUACAUGUAAUUGUUCAUAUUGUUUUUCAGAAGCUGCAGGUCAUGAAAAUCCUCAUUUAUUCAUUUUCUUUCGUUAUCCCAAUGCCGGACCAUUUCGAUACCAUUUUUGCACGUCGUCGAUUACUUCGUUGAAUCAUUGGAUUUUUAAUUAUAUUAUUAUUAAUAAAGUAAACAAAAUUAUCAGCCUACUAGUGUAGGUAUAACUAUUUACCAUAUAAUUAUUCAAAUUAGAUAAUGACGUAAGUGAUUAUCUUGACAUUAAUGUUUUAUUAUACUUUGCUUUUUUAUUUUCAAUCGUGGACGUUAGUUAUUAUGCAUAAAACGAUUUGAAAUAUAUGGCUAAUAAUUUUAGAAAGUAUACGAGAUAUGCAGUUGUAAGGGUCAGCAUCGUUUGAUACGUGAACGACCUUUCUCUAUGUAAUCAUUGCCGCUCUUUUGAUAAAACUAAAAAAUAUAUACAUAUAAAUAUAUUUUAUAAAAUCUACAUUGAGGGUGAAGAAUAUUCAACCAACUUGUGAUAUAUGUAAAAGAAUUUUGUAAUUCGUGACAUCGUCAUAUUUUAAUGACUGGGCAGUUCGCACAACGAGUAAUCGACGAACGAUAGUCAACGUUAAUUGCUUGAUAAAUUACGAGUUCAAAGAAGACACCCGGUGCAGUGAGGAUAAUUUAAUCUUUAGAACCGGAAAGGAAUUGUUGAAAUCCAUCUCACGGUGUUAUCUGAAUCUUUGGACUUUGGAACAUUUGAAUAAUCUACAGAAAAGGGACAACUUUAUAUGUUUUGGAAGACCCUCUGAAAGACGUUGGUUUUUUUUACAUACUCCUGUGGUUCAACUGAUAACCGAAAACCACUUGAUAAGGACUAAAAAUCUGAACAAACAACAAUUCCUCAAAAGCGGAUUUUUGUAAAGCCUCUCUAUUAAAAUGUAGUACAACAUAUGUAUAAUGCUCUCUGACUUUUGAACUUGGUAAUUGUUGUUCGUAAUACGUGAGAUCGUGUGGGACCUACGUAUACGUUGUACCGAAGUUCAAUUCCUGUAUUUGCGGCAGACUUUUUUUCUAAUAUCUAAUAGAAAAAAUGCUCAUUAAUUUAUAAAAACAGAUCAUGUUUUGAAUUUGAAUGCAUAUGUUGAAUUAGCAUUCGUAAAAGGACUUUGGAAUAUUGUGAAAUAAUUAUAUUGCAACAAGCUUUCAUUAGAUUGAUGCGUAAUUGAAUAUUCAAAAUUACCGCUGGUCGUAAAGCGGAGUUUUCCUCAAGUUCAAAUGAUUAGUGGAAAAUCUGCGUAAACGUGAACCCUUUUCUGUAACAGUGUCAAGUAGUCAUCGAAUACACUCAAAAAGAUCAUAAUAAUUUAUGAAAUAUUAAUGAAAAUGCCGGGAAAACCGACCAGUGAAGCAAACACUCAUGUACUUAAGGAAGAGACGGAUGAAACCGAAAAAGAGUAUCCAGUAGGGGUUACCAGAGAAU
rnacentral:misc_RNA from 1 species